CUUGCUUUGGCAACACAUAUACUAAUUGGGUUGAUGCAGAGAUUAGCAUAGUCCCUGUACAAGGGUAACACAAAUAUUCAUGAAGCAGUCCUUUUGUAA
ensembl:snRNA LOC120098342 U6 spliceosomal RNA